UACGUAGGUGGCAAGCGUUGUCCGGAUUUACUGGGUUUAAAGCGUCCGCAGGUGGCAGUUCAAGUCUGCUGUCAAAGACCGGGGCUUAACUUCGGAAAGGCAGUGGAAACUGAACAGCUAGAGUAUGGUAGGGGCAGAGGGAAUUCCUGGUGUAGCGGUGAAAUGCGUAGAGAUCAGGAAGAACAUCGGUGGCGAAGGCGCUCUGCUGGACCAUAACUGACACUCAGGGACGAAAGCUAGGGGAGCGAAUGGG
rnacentral:rRNA from 1 species